AUGGGCUUUCCACCAAGAAGGUCAAGUUUGAACGGGGCAGAUCCCCGUGAGAUUCAUUUUGCAAUACAGGCCAGAGACCGCUGUUCCCAGAGAAGAAUGUGCCCAAAAGAGAAGAGCUGGUCACUUGGGAAGAACUGCCUUUUGCAGAGGCUGACAGUCACAGAGGCCGUUUGUGUCCCAAGGCCCAGACUCUGGCACCUUUUGCCCCACGCAGAAGGACAGCUGUAUGGAGCUGACUGUGACUCCCAAGUUACAAACGAAUGGUAUAAAAAGCACUGAGCAGAGCCCAAUUCCUGGUUCAUGGCUCAAGUACUACAUCUCCAGACCUUUUUGUAAGAGGCUAUGAGCAUUCAAAGAAUUAAGCAGUUGCUGAAGCCUCAUUUCCUAUUCCAAACUGAACUGAGAGAACUACGCUAAGAUGUCACCCCUCUCUGCAGGCCCAGCUCACUGUGUAGCUGGACAUGCCCCUCAGUUGUGGCAGCGUGCUAGUACUAGUGAUGCACAGACCAGAACAGCUGGGAAGGGAAGAGGCGCAUGGGAUUCCUGCACUUGUCUGAAGGGUCCGAGAGACCUGACCUGCCUCCCAAUUAAAGAUGGUACAAGACUUUCAAGGGUUAAAUUUAGACACGUGUUUCUAUCCCAGUUCCUGGGGAGGAGUUUGCAUUCCUGGUGUAAAGAGAUUAAUAAAUGUUAAUUACUGCCUGGUUCAGGUCCCAUCCUAUUUCAGACGCAAACAUUUUCGAGCCUAUUACCUUCAAGCAAUGGGGGAUAACCAGAUGGGCUCCAAGGUUAUGCAGCUGUAAUGGAGAAAGAUGGUCCUGGAAAAAAAAAAAUGCAUUUGGUAUCUUUGUAUUGUUCUGCUAAGGCAGGAGCUGCCUCCAUACCAUAGCUCAGCUCUAAAUAGCCAGCAGUGGCUGUGGGCUACAAGCUGAUGCAGCAGCUCUCCUUCAUAGUCAUGCCUGUAGGUUGUUCUCCCUUCUGUUCUGGAAAGCAGGCCCAAAUCCAAAUUCAAGACAGCUGGAAGAGCCUUUUGCAGCAUCACGGAGUGGUUGAGGUCAUCUGCUCCAAUCCCCCACUUGAACAGGGUGACUUAGAGCAGAUUGCUCCGGACCAUUUAUUAAAUGACCUUUCCAGCCAGGAUCCCACAGGACAGGACUUGCUUCUUAGGAGCUUUUGAGCCCACUUUGGGACAGCUGCUUUUGCACAGCUGUGAAGCAAGCAAGUUCAAAGACAAAGUAGUGCGGCUGGCCUGAGUGGGACUCGGCUGGGAAGCAACAGUGGUCAAGUGAGUCCCACUUAGAGGGGAUCAUGCAGCCCAGCAAAUUUGUGAGCGUUCGUGCCACAGCCAGAAAGAGUUGCCAGGUUGCAACACAUGGCAAGCUGGCUCUAGUGAUGGCUUGCAUUUCAGUUUGGUCCCUCUCAGUCACAGAUGGGCACAGGGAUCAUCAGUGCAACCAGAAGCUAUAAUUUUCUCCACAGCUGCCUCUGGGAGGGAGAUGAGGAAGAGAAGCACAAGUAUCUGUUCAAAGCACAAGGCCACUGUGUAAUUGCUGCUGCAAGCAUGAAAACAGUCCCAGCUCCCGUGUGCCUUCUGCCCCUUAGGGCUCUGUUGGUUUACUAAUGUGCGUGAAGCAAGACCGAAUUCCUUUAUUGAGUACAAAACUGGUGAGAGCAGCUAUGACUGUACAGUGCACGGCGAACUCAGAGGAGAUGGAGCCGAACUGACUCACGUACCAGGAGUGGGCUGGCUACAUGAGCUGAGGGCUCAGUCUCAGCAGCCUCAGUCUCUGAGCUAGCCUGACCUUCACACUGCAGCACUGAGAGCCUGCACAGUGACACGUUCUGCUCCAGUAGAAAACAAGCACCCACUGUCUCCCUGAUCACACACCUUGACCAUCUGGAAGGGUUCCUGCUGGGGCCACAGCACCUGGGCUAUCCAGGAAGGGACAGAAACUUGAUGGGAACAGAGGCAGUAGAGGUCAUGGUGUCUCAAAUGCAGAUCAGAGACUUUUGCUCACCUCUCCUGCCAUGCCACUGACCACAAAACAGACAAUACGUUCAGGUUUCAUCAGCUCAGGCUGGCUCAGAUCUAAGUGACCAAGAAAAUAACAUCUCAGAGAAUGCAAACAAGCUGCUUUUGUCAGUCACACAAAUUCCCUUCUGCCAACUGGGAAUACAGCAGUUGUGGCUUAGACAGCAGAUCUAAACCAAGGCUUGGAUGCAGCAGGAACCUUGUUACAUGAGAGGAGUAAAUAAACAUUCCCCCACUUCUUCUCCCACCACCUCGAGGUCAGGUAUACAGCUUUUUCCAUCAGCAAGAGAACCUCAUAACAGAUCCAGGGACAAUCUAUGCUAGCUAGCUCUUUUGCUGCUGUUGAGGAUAACAGGAUGAGGCAGGGGAAGACAGUAGUUGGGAUACUGGAUUUGGGGGUUCCACACCACCCUCUAAGUUUAUUUCCCUAGGCUGUCACAAAAAAAUAAAAUAAAAGCAAUCUCUUGGGCUCAGGAGCUGCCUCCACAAAAAAGCGGUUCCUUUGAUUCCUAACUAGCAUUUGGCAAUAAGCCUUAGUCUGUGUGGAGGCAAAGAUCUAUCACUUUAACGAAGUCUAGGAAAGCCCUGGUUCGGGGUGUACUUAUACUUGGGCGGUAACCAUGCAGACAAAGCCUUGUGUUCUGUGCCACAAGGAACGAGUGGGGAAUGGCACUCAGCUGAGCUGAAGAGGCAGGUUUGAUACACUACAGGGUGAAAAGUGUGGAAGAAUUGUAGUUAGCACCACAUAGGAGAGGAUGCAGAGAUUAUCAAGUCAACCCAGCAUGAGAGCUUACAUCGGGCUCUUUUCUUUCCUUGCCCUCUGGGAAAGGAGACUUGCGCUCUCUCAGGGACGUACACCCUGCCUCUUCAGGGUCCUGUGGGGAUUGUGCAUGGGAGGGACUAGCCAGGCGUAAUGACACACUGUACAAGGUCGCAGAAUAUCUUACACAGUUAGGAGCAUCUUUCCCGGUAAGAAGUGGGGCCUGUAUGUACAAGUGUUAGCUGUCGCUAGAGGAGCCCGGGAGGCAGCCGUUGCGAUCAGGAGAGGUCCAGUAGUGCCCCUCUCCAAAGGAGCACCCACCCUAUGGUUAGAACCAGAAAGGUGGCAAAAGGAAGGACCCUGGCUGCUUCCCCUUCUAUCUGACCCCUCGCAACACCAGCAGAUCAAGUUUAUAUUGACUCUAUUCUUCCUCUCUUCCUGCUUUAGUCCCCAGUCCCCCUCCAGCACUGGCAGAGGGAGCUGGGGAGCAGGCGGCCUGGACAGUGCUAAGAGCAUCACCGCUCAGAGGGGCCGAGCCCCAGCGACCGCCUCAACAAGUGCAAGAGCAUAUUCUGGUAUUUCCCACAGAGAAAACAAAUGAAAAAAAGAGAAACAGGUGACUGAUUAAAAGAGUUUCCCCCCUCCUGUACACGAGAUUCUGCAGUCACGCCGACAGAUAGACAUUAAAUAAUUCUUCCAUAAUAAAUGAUUGGAGAUAAAAGCCGGCGGUGGCUGCUGCUGCUGUUUGGAUUGCUCCAUUGUCUGCAUCUUUGUUUCUAGUUUGUUCCCCGGCCACU
rnacentral:lncRNA from 1 species